UCAGUAAAUAGUUCUUUUGAAACCCUACAACUUUUGUCUGAAACAUUUUCUUGUAAGAUAUAAAGGAAUGGAAAUAUUUAGGAGUUUCCACACUUUUUAUACACCCUAUAUAAGUAGGAAACGAUAUAAAAUAUAUAAUAAUACGUUGCGCACGCGUCGCAACUGAGCUCCGCAACACGAAAAUCUGAAAUCGUUUUGCUAAGCUGUGCAGUGUUGACGGCUUGUUCUGUAAUGAGAGAAAACAAGAAUGCUCGAGAUAGAAGAGGAUAGAUCAAGAGGGAGAAAGACCGUUUGAGAAGGAAGGAGAGAGAAGAUCCCCCCCCCCCACGCAUCUUUCUCACUUGAUAUUGGAUCGAGAGAGAAAGCAUGAUACGACGUGGUUGUACGGAGCGCCGUUCUCACUUUGCCUUUCCUUCAUGUCUCCAUUGUGACGUAUUGUCACCCGCAUUCACCGUUGCCGCGCAAUAGUGUAAUGAAGUUGGUACAUUGUCGGUACAAUGAAAUUAUAGUGUGUGUCCUAAUAAGAGAACAUUUUUGUUCUAUUUGGGACAUGUAUCGUCAAUCUAACCUGUCCAAAAGAAAGUUGGAAGUUAGAAUGCAGAGGCUGUGGUGUAGGAUACCUACUACAGUGAGAACAGUCGCAGUGACGGAUAGUGACAAUCCUCGCUGCCGAGGACAAAUAUUACGACCAAAAAGCCAACUGAAAACGGCGACACAGUCAUACAUCCACCCAACAUACACCUGACCCAACGACAUCCUGCACGUCGGAUCGAGGAAUUACGCUGGGUAACAAAAUUUUCUGCUUCCCCUCCCCCGCACCGGCAGCUACAACGGUACCACGACGCCAUAUUGCGUCAUACGUCGAGCAAGCUAAAGUCACUAGAUUAAUAAAGUACCGCAAUUCAUAAUACUCAAUAGGUCUGUUCGAGUUGCUUGAAAUCCCUAAAAAUUUUUGCACUUGAGAUGAGAUAAAUAUAUAUUCGAUCGUAAAAAAGAAAGAGACGACAAAGAAAUUAAUUCAAAAAGGGCAGCAACACAAACAGGCCUAUUGUAUAAGGAUUUGGAGCCAAAAUGGCGUCUGAAAGUAUAAAGAGUGCACACUUUCAUAAUAUAUGUAAUUACACAGUACUUACAUUACAUGUAAGUGCAAUUAUUUACCGUGAGACACCAUGAGGGGCGUUAAAUCUAUUGUGUUAUUGUUGUACUCUGAAAAAUAAAACGAUAUUAAACGU